rnacentral:rRNA from 2 species
UACGGAGGGUGCAAGCGUUAUCCGGAUUUAUUGGGUUUAAAGGGUACGUAGGCGGUCUGUUAAGUCAGGGGUGAAAGCUAGCAGCUUAACUGCUAAAUUGCCUUUGAUACUGGCAGGCUUGAGUAUAGUUGAGGUGGGUGGAAUUUCACAUGUAGUAGUGAAAUGCUUAGAUAUGUGAAGGAACUCCGAUAACGAAGGUAGCUCACUAAACUAUAACUGACGCUGAGGUACGAAAGCGUGGGGAGCAAACAGG